rnacentral:tRNA from 1 species
CGGGGCGUAGCGCAGAUGGUAGCGCACAUGGUUUGGGACCAUGGGGUCGCUGGUUCAAGUCCAGUCGCCCCGACCA